GACCGAGUGCGCGAGCGGACAUGACGUGUGGCUGUCGUAAAAACCCUAUUUGUAAACAACCAGCCCUUUAACUCGGGGCUGCGUCAUAAACACGGCGCGCUUGGAAGACCACGAUGUCAUCUUCCUUCUGUCAGGAGGAUCCAAGUGAAGCUACAGGAGUUUCAUUAACGUCAACAACUUGGACCGAACAGUUUGUUUUGCUUGAUGAAGAGCAGGAAGGGCAGCCUGGAGAGAAAGAGAAGCCGGGUUGAGCCCACUACCAUCAUCCACGUACCACGAGGAAGAUGAGGGAGAGAAAUGAUCCUACCAUUAAAGAGACUGUGAAAAGAACGUUGAGAACAUCACCACUCUACAGGAAGACACAGUCCAGUAAUGGGUGUCAGAAGUUCAGUAGUGAACGACAGGUACUGUGGAAAAAUAUGUGUCAUUGUUGUACAAUGUCCUUUGACUCUGUUUAAACAAGGUUAACACAAAAAGGUUUGAUUGUAAACUGAUAUCGGUAUGAAUUCAUGUUAUUCUCCUCGUCAAAAGAAACAAACAAUCCAAAUUACCUGCAGAAAGCCCUUGAUGGACGCUUCAGCUGCAUCGUCAGACUGGCAGUACUGAUGCAUUUACUGAGAGGGGACGUGAGGGCCUACUCUGCGUGCUCAGAGUUCAAGCCCAGCAGGCUGCAGCGGGCCUGACAUAUUCUGGAACAGCAGCACAGUCUUUAGAUGACUCCUCUGAAGAUGAAAACAUGGCGAGUUCUUCUCAAGAGAAGCAGUACAGGUGUGCCUCAGCUCCACGGUCCCUCCUGCAGCCUCCGCUCCUGAUGCUAACCUCAUGUCUCCAUCACACCAAGCAGCAGACCUGGAUUGACAGACCUUUCUCCAGAGCUGCCCCCUCCCUCUGAAACCCCCCUCUCCAAAACACUAUUUGUGUAGUUUUUAAAGUAUUUUUUGCAUGAGAAUUGUUGAUCAUAACAUUUCCAGCAGAUGC